GACGAACGCUGGCGGCGUGCUUAACACAUGCAAGUCGAACGGAAAGGCCCUGCUUUUGUGGGGUGCUCGAGUGGCGAACGGGUGAGUAACACGUGAGUAACCUGCCCUUGACUUUGGGAUAACUUCAGGAAGCUGGGGCUAAUACCGGAUAGGAGCUCCUGCUGCAUGGUGGGGGUUGGAAAGUUUCGGCGGUUGGGGAUGGACUCGCGGCUUAUCAGCUUGUUGGUGGGGUAGUGGCUUACCAAGGCCUUGACGGGUAGCCGGCCUGAGAGGGUGACCGGCCACAUUGGGACUGAGAUACGGCCCAGACUCCUACGGGAGGCAGCAGUGGGGAAUAUUGCACAAUGGGCGGAAGCCUGAUGCAGCAACGCCGCGUGCGGGAUGACGGCCUUCGGGUUGUAAACCGCUUUCGCCUGUGACGAAGCGUGAGUGACGGUAAUGGGUAAAGAAGCACCGGCUAACUACGUG
rnacentral:rRNA from 1 species